CUCAAUAUUGGACGAUUUAACAUUGCUGUGUCCGGAGAGUCAAACGUAUUUGCUACGAUCUCUUCACGUGGGUUAGAAGAGUGAUUGAUUCUAGAAGAUAUCGGAGAAUGGCAUUAUACCACAUGGAAGCAUUAAGGAAACAACAAUUCCUAGACAGAAAGAUUGCAGCCAUGGAACAGUUAGAAAUUUUCGAAGACCCCAAGGAGCCGGUUUCAAAAUAUACCACCAGGAAUGUCCCCAUAUUGGGCCCAUCAUUUGAGGAGGCAAGCCAG